rnacentral:tRNA from 1 species
GCCUGAGUGGCUUAGUCGGGUAAGCAUCUGGCUUCUGCUCAGCUCAUGAUCUCAUGGUUUGUGGGUUUGAGUCCCACAUCGGGCC